AGGUAGUAUUAGUUGUACGGAAGGGUGUUCCCUGAAAUCACGCUUUCCAGCCACGUGUAUUGUAUUAUGAAAAUUUUCAAACAUUUCUCCUCUCUCACUGAAUUUCCUUCACCAAUUUAUCUAAUUUCCUUCGCCGCUUCUCCUCCUCUCUCAAUUACGUUUGUUUCAUUGAAACAUCUUUUGACCGGAAACAAUAUCAAAAUGAAGAUGUGAGACUGAAAAUUUGCAAUUGGUGUUUUCAGUUUCUUCCCAGUUCUCUUCACAGAAGCGCAGGUUGAUAUUACUUUGUUGUAUUCAUCGGCUUGUUGCAUUAACCUAUUGCUAGCGUGAAAGCUGUUUGACGAUUGUGAUAAAUACCACUAUGGAGAUCAUGGUUCUUUAGAAUGUUAUCACUCUUGAAUACGGGGUAUGACAGCAACUUGGAUUGUAUAAAACAGGUAUGUUACCUUUCCUUUUAUUAAUUGGUGUAUUGGAGAUGCAUAGGAUAGUUUUAAUUGUACCUUCACUCUUGGUUUAAGAACUCAAGAUAGCAAUAACAAGAUGGAUUAUACUUCAGCUGCUUUACACUGUGGUGUCGGACAAGCACAUGAUUAAGGAUUUGAAGUAUUUUCUAAUAGUUUCAACUUAGUUUCCACUUGCUGCAUUUAUGUGUGAAUAUUUUUGUUAAAAAAAAUUGAUUAUCAAGGCAGAAUUCAUCGAAGGGUAUAGUUAUAUUCAAAGAUGGUUACAAGAUAAGUUACUUUCCAGGAAAUAAUUCUUCGCUCGGCUAAUCCAAAGUCAUGGAAAGGCCUCUCAAGCAUGAACGUAGUUUAAACUAUAUAUAUACAAUCCUUUGGCAUCUUGAGUUCAUCAGGUCUCAUUGCUUUCUUGCCUACAAAAUAAAAACUGUUUAUUUAUUUUUUGCAAAAAAUUUCCAUACGACCUUAAUUAACACAAGCAGAAAAGGAGAGAGCUGAGGGAGAUGUGAAAUAACGACACCAAAAGGAAAAGGGCCAUGAAUGCCAACCUUAAACAAUCACAUUGGAAGACAAAAACAGGAGUUUGAUGCAGAGGCUAAUACUCCUGAAAUGGAAGUUGAUAAGAUGCGUCAACACAUCAAGAACAAUAGGUUCUUUCACAUGGUGCCAACUUACUCAUGCAUAUGCAGAUUAUAGUGCUUUGGUUCGACUUCUCCCCCGGUGUUUGUGUAUUUCAGAGGUACAAUAAGCUGAUUUCUAGCUGCCUGCCAUAGCAAUUGUCAUCUUUGGGUAGGGAAGGAUACACGUCUUACCGCUUCUUGCUGCCUGCUCAGUUUAGGUGAUCUACACAGUUUUUAGAAAAGUCUGUUUGGGCAGAGCUCUGUAGCAGAUUCAUAGCAGCUUCAGUUGAAGAGCUUUUGAGGUUUAUAUGGCCUGAAUAAUAAGUGAGGAUUACUCACCGUGUCUGGUCUGUAAGUCAUACUGACUGUCUUUCUUUUUCGCUCUCUACUCUCUUAUUUGUAUCUCCAAAUCUGUUUACUUUAUUAAGGAAAACAAAUGAAAGGAAAAUGUUGAUAUUGAGGAAAGAGAAAUAUUUUACAAAUAAAAGAAAGGAAAGGAUGUUAUUUGCAUGGAGCGACAUGAUUUUUCUGAUUUUUUUAAUCUUUUAGUCCUGUUGACACAACAAUGUUGCAAGAGAGAGAAUGCUUACGACACGAGACAUCUUUCAUUCCCAUACAAGGUUAGGAUGCUAAAUUUGUUGUGUCUAUACACACAUUCCAGUGCAUAUAGAACGUUCUAUUUUAAGAAAAAUUAUGUUGUAGACAUGUAUUAUGAAUGUGUAUAUAGCAAAAUUUGUAGGGUCUGAACUAUGAAAAAAUCAGAAACAAAGAUGUAUAUGCCAAGCCACAAAGUUCAACAGAAGACAGCUUAUGCUUGACCAUGAUUAAACUAUUUGUGAAAGGAGAGAAGGGAAACAUAAGAUGCUUUGAACGUAGAAAAAAUUUAGUUAGAUCUUUCCUCUAUCUCUUGGCAUAUAGAAUGUAAAUAAUAUGGCUCAAAUGCUAGGUUCAUUCUACCAUUCCCAAAUGUCGAUUAUCUUUCAGCUAUUUCCACAAAUCUGAAAUGGUACAUGUGCCUAAUUUUAGACUUAUUAGUACAUGUCUUUUUUUCCAUAGAUCCACCACAUAAUUGUAUUUGUAGAGAGAUUCAUUCAUCUUCUCUCCUUUCGAUAUUUUGUCCGGUUCUCUUCUCCUCUUCUUAGCUUAUGGUCCAAUUUUCAGGUAUUUGUUUGUAGGUCCUUUCUCUUUGAUCUAAAUUUUAAAGGGAUUUUCUAUUUGAUCUAAUCUAAAAUUUUGGAAUUAAGAAAGUAAAGACGUGAAAAAGGAGAGGCUCUUGGAGCUCUUUACUAGAAUUAAUGGUGAAUCUUUUGCUAAGAGUUUGAAAAACAAAUUUCUGGCUAAAUAUUGUUAUUUUUCUUUCCCUCAAUCUAUCAGGUAAUUCGAUCCAUAGCAGAUUUGACCAGUAAAUGAUUAUGUAUGUUCAAGUAAAUUCAAUCUAUUCCCAAAAGGGAUAACUGAUAGAGGUUGGGGUGCAUGGUGUGAGAUUUAGAGUGUUACUGCUCUCUAUUCUUU